CCACCAUGCAAGUGAGGGAAAUGGAGAAAAUGGGGAGAGAAGGCGGCGCCCAUCACCUUCCUCUCCUUGCACCUCACGCAUGCAGGCGGAGGCCGGGUGCUCAGGCACUUCCCGGUGCUCAGCCAGCGGGGAGGGUUCUCCCAACGGCAGAGCUCUGAAUUAAACAUACCACCCUAAUGAGUUGAUUUUAUUAGUUUGCGAAUGCAUUGAGAACUCAUUAUCAAAAUAAACAUCAAUUCACUCCACCGAGCACAGUGCCACACACGCGCACAACCCAGCAGCGCUGCAGCUGAGGCCGCGUGCGGCUCCCACUCCGAGACGCUGCUGGUCCCCUUCGCGCCCCAGCCCUGGCACCUACUGCGGGCAAGCUCCAGGGGGGCGCAGGGGCAGUAGGCACCCACCCUGCAAAGCCCCUCGUACCGUAAGGUUUGCUUCUCCAUUUUGGCUGUGGGGCUUCAGGCUGGGCACCCAGCAUUGCUGCUUGCUGGCGUCGGGCAGCCUUGAGCUCCUGCCACCCCAGCACGGGCUGUGCGGGGUCCCCUGGGACCCACUCACUGCUGCUGCAGGGCAGGCAGAAGUCCCCACCCUGCCCCAGGCUCUCCAGCCCCCUGCAAGCACCCCCAGGAGCCUGCGCAGCACCCAGCACUGGAGCACUGGGGGCUUGGCUGACCCCAAGGCCCCCCAGGGUCAGCCAGGGCAGGAGGCAUCACUCCAGCCCCGGGAAGCCAACGCCAAGCCCUUCUUGGCCAGGGCCAGCGCACCGAGGCGUGAAGCAGGGGCACAGCGGGCGCAUUGUCCGGCUCGGCAGGACACAUUCCCUUUGGAAACAGCAGCUAAUCCCAUUUCAUCCCCCUUCACGGCCAUCAGCUGUUUUUCAGGCAUUCAGGAGGCGGGUUGCUACAACCAGAGCUAUUGUGGCUGCCGCACCCCAGCCCCCUCCAUCCAUCCAUCCAUCCAUCCAUCCUGGCCCCACGAUCCAGCAGCAUGUCCACACCCAGCUCCCACCCCAGCACCAUUCCCAGCCCAACCUUCACG
rnacentral:lncRNA from 1 species